rnacentral:rRNA from 1 species
UGCGUAGGUGGCGGGGUAAGUUUGAUGUGAAAUCUCCGGGCUUAACCCGGAAACUGCAUUGAAUACUAUUCUGCUCGAGGUUUGGAGGGGGGACUGGAAUUCUCGGUGUAGCAGUGAAAUGCGUAGAUAUCGAGAGGAACACCAGUGGCGAAGGCGAGUCCCUGGACAACACCUGACACUGAGGCACGAAAGCUAGGGGAGCAAACA